AUGGCAACCGCGGCAGGAAAAGGAACAGGACUAGUUUUGUGCUGCUCUGUAAAUGGCCAGGAUUCAGCAGCUAUCUCAGGACUUCUGCUUGGCCCCAGACAAUCUGAUCUCCUGGUAAGGUUAUUAAACUUGGCUCUCCUCUUCCACCCUCCUUUGAUCAUGUUGUCAGGCAGCGAGUAGGAAUGGCCGUAAGGGGUCGGCUGGUGGGGGUUGCAGAGCACAGCAAGAUAUGCACCAGCAGAAACAUAAGAACAGGGGCAGAGGCAAAUCAGGGACUGUGUUCUUAUCUUUUCUGCACCCCAGAUGCAGAGAAGUACAUCCCCAAGUCCUUGCCAAUACUAUUCUUCAAGAGUUGAGCACCUUGCUCCAAAGAGCCUGUCCAGAUCGCCAGUUUGACCAGCAUGGAGGAGAACAAGGAAGGGCCGGUCCUGGAAGACCCCAGGAUUUUUUUAAUUGGGAAAGCAUUAUUUGAGUUUUCUCUGCUGCAAAGCACAAACUGCCUACCACAUGUGUUUCAUAAAAAUGUCACUGAAAAGGAGAGUGAGAAUACAGAGUAAGCUUCCAUGGCUUAAUAAUAGUUUAUUUUGUGACUUGGAAUAGCUUUUCUUUUCAUUCAGCGGAUCAUUUUAGGUGUCAUUCAGUUUAUUUUAAGUAGUGUGUUUCAUCCUGAGCGGAUUAAGAAUUUUAUUUUUUAAAACUCUGUACUGUGUUGCUUCCUACUGGGAAAUUUACAUUAAAAAAAUGUUCGUGAGCAAAAUCUAUUUGGUCAAAAAGAAUGGCCCACGAUUAUCACUGAAUUUGGGAUGUUUUUCUUCUAAGGGACACAGUUGAUUCUUACUCAGAAUCAUGCGAGUCUGACAUUUCAUUUGGGGAAGUCUGAGGAAGUUGGUGAGGUCUUACGUUAAUAAAAACAAGUGCUUCUUUUUCUUCUUAUCACCUUUCAGUGUCUGCUCUGCUGGCUCAUGCAGUGUAGGUUGGCUUACCUCUCCCUGGAAGUCACAUUGUCCUUCAGAACUCUUUUUACUAUGACCCACAAACAGUUUUCAGACCUCACUCUGAUGAGUCAAAGGUAAAGCUGUGAAUAAACAGAUGGUGAAACAACAUUUGCAGUUCUCUGACUUCAGUCCUCCCUGAAACCCACUUGGAAUCUAGCUCUGAAUUCAGCCGGACAUGUUUGUUCUUCCCUUUUCCCAUCCUCACCUACUCCUAACCUUCAGUGUUCUCUUUACCUUUUAUUUUUAUUUUUGUCAUUUUAGUAGUAAAUGACAGGGACAUAGUUACUCAAUUUGUAAAACAUUGAAUGGUGAGGUCAAAGAUUCUAUGACGAGCUUGAGAUUUCUAACAGGUUCAGAUGGAUGACAGCAACAUUUUGCUGGCUUAAUUUUGGAGCUGUUUUUGUAGGUUUUGAAAUGCAGUUUAAUAGUGAGUAAUAGAGAAGUUUCUUUCUGCCGUGGAGCUACUGAACCCUUGAAAGUAACAUGCUGGCACAUACAGAUGAACUGUAGCCCCACAUUUAUUCCUUGCUUAGUGGUAAGCUGUACACUGAACAAUAGAAAACAAAAGGCUAUUUUUCUUUGGAAGAGCAGAUACUGAUUUCUGGACAAAGUUUAUGUUGUACAAGUUAAACAUUUUUUAUUCUUUUCUGGUUAGAUUUUCUGCCUUUUAAAAAAUUAGCUUAGUUGAAAAAGCAGAAAGAUUAAUAACAGUGACAAUUGUGAAUAGAAGCCAGUCAUUACCUAACUGAUAAAAUGAGUGAGGCUAGCAAAGGGCCUGACAGGAAGUGAAAUCACUUACUGAAGUGGUGGUAGAGUACGCAACCAAGAACUAAGAACAGGAGGGAAGUUAACCCUAGGGAGAGUUCGACUCCACUUGAGGAGGAACAUUCUGGCAAUCAGGACUGUCUAAAAAUGGAACAAGCUGAUUGAUUUAGCAGUGAAACCUCUGUCACUGGAGAUGUUCAAACAGAGGUAGUAGGACCCUCUUAUCAGGAAUUCUCCAGAGAGGAGAUGUCACCAAUUUUCAAAGAAUUUGAGUAUAAUUAAAUACACUUCAUAAUAAACUAGGCUGAACAUAAUUUAAUCUUUCCCUGAAGAUGAGGACAGUGGAGCUCAGGAAGCUUGAGGGACUUGCCUAAGCUCAUACAGUAGAUCAAUGGCGGAGACCACUGGACUUCAAAUUCAGUGCUCUUUUUAGUAUUUCAAAGGAUACUAAACAUUUGCUCACAUCUCUGAUGUUCUUUGUGCUGUAUGUGUAGUAACUCAUUUAAUCCUCACAGUGGCCCUGUUAGUAGGUAGAUAUCAGUUCUUCUGGUACUAUUACGAUUCUCAUCUUCAGAGCUGAGGCCACUGAGAGGCACAGAGAAGUUAGGGCAUGCACUAGUGAGUGGCGGAGCUGAAAUCUGAACUUAGAGCUUUGGCUCCAGAGCCCAUGCACUCCACCAUUAUGCUACAUGGCUACUCAGUGUACAGAUACACUGAGCUUAAGUAGAGGAGAAAGCUUAUCUAUCCAUAUCUUCCCAUCUGCAAAGACCUCUGCCUGUAUGGGAGGUCUGGGCUCGUUCUGACUAAGGUUUUGAACCCAGAUCUGCCAAUUUGAGAUCUUGGGCCCAUUACUUAGCCUGAGCUUCAGUUUCCACAUCUCUAAAGUGAAAAUAUAGAACAUGGAAUGUACCUGUAAGAACACAAUGGAAUACAGGUUCAAGCAAUUCUACUGUCUCAGCCUCCUGAGUAGCUGGGACUACAGGCUACCCAAUCAGAGCAAAAACAGUAUUUUAAAAAACCUCAACUGGAUGAGCCUGAUGCAGUGGUGUGCUCAUGCAGUCCCAGCCAAAGGGUCACUUGAGCAGAGGAGUUCAAGGCCAACUUGGGCAACAUAGUGAGACCCCGUCUCUAAGACAAAUAAUAAACAUCAAAAUUAAAAUUAAAAAAAACCCAACCCAGUGUUCCCUUCAGAAUCCUGAGUGGUUUGUUUCAUCUUCCUCUAUUCUGGCUUGUGUCAUCUUCCUCUCUUGUAAUGGAUAAAAACUCCAAAUGAAGACAAAAAUGAGGAAUUUGUCAAAAAAAUUGAAUUGCCAACAAAAGCCAUCUUUGGUUGAUCAAACGGUACAGACGUUUCAGUUAGACAAGAGGGCUAAGUUUCUGAGACCCAUUGUACAGGAUUAUUAAUAUUAUUCAUUUUUAG
rnacentral:lncRNA from 1 species